UAGCCGUAAACGAUACUCGCUAGGUGUCGGCCACGGUGCGACCGUUGUCGGUGCCGUAGGGAAGCCGUGAAGCGAGCCACCUGGGAAGUACGGCCGCAAGGCUGAAACUUAAAGGAAUUGGCGGGGGAGCACAACAACGGGUGGAGCUUGCGGUUUAAUUGGAUUCAACGCCGGAAAUCUUACCGGGACCGGACAGCAACAUGAAGGCCAAGCUGAAGACUUUGCCGGAUUAGCUGAGAGGUGGUGCAUGGCGUAGACGU
rnacentral:rRNA from 1 species